UGAGGAAUAUUGGUCAAUGGGCGGGAGCCUGAACCAGCCAAGCCGCGUGAGGGAAGAAGGCCCUAUGGGUCGUAAACCUCUUUUGUCAGGGAACAAAAGCGAGUAUGUAUACUAGUCUGAGUGUACCUGAAGAAAAAGCAUCGGCUAACUCCGUGCCAGCAGCCGCGGUAAUACGGAGGAUGCGAGCGUUAUCCGGAUUUAUUGGGUUUAAAGGGUGCGUAGGCGGCGAUGCAAGUCAGCGGUAAAAGCCCGGGGCUCAACCCCGGCGAGCCGUUGAAACUGCAGUGCUAGAGAAGGCGAGAGGUACGCGGAAUGCGCAGUGUCGCGGUGAAAUGCUUAGAUAUUGCGCAGAACUCCGAUUGCGAAGGCAGCGUACUGGCGCCUGACUGACGCUGAGGCACGAAAGCGUGGGGAUCGAACAGGAUUAGAUACCC
rnacentral:rRNA from 1 species